rnacentral:rRNA from 1 species
CGCGUAGGCGGCUUUUUAAGGGUGCGGUGAAAGCCCGGGGCUUAACCCCGGGUCGGCCGUGCCGACUGAAAAGCUGGAGCACUGUAGAGGCAGGUGGAAUUCCGGGUGUAGCGGUGGAAUGCGUAGAGAUCCGGAAGAACACCAGUGGCGAAGGCGGCCUACUGGGCAGUUGCUGACGCUGAGGCGCGACAGCGUGGGGAGGCAAAACA